rnacentral:rRNA from 1 species
GACGAACGCUGGCGGCGUGCCUAAUACAUGCAAGUAGAACGCUGAAGAGAGGAGCUUGCUCUUCUUGGAUGAGUUGCGAACGGGUGAGUAACGCGUAGGUAACCUGCCUUGUAGCGGGGGAUAACUAUUGGAAACGAUAGCUAAUACCGCAUAACAAUGGAUGACACAUGUCAUUUAUUUGAAAGGGGCAAUUGCUCCACUACAAGAUGGACCUGCGUUGUAUUAGCUAGUAGGUGAGGUAAUGGCUCACCUAGGCGACGAUACAUAGCCGACCUGAGAGGGUGAUCGGCCACACUGGGACUGGGACACGGCCCAGACUCCUACGGGAGGCAGCAGUAGGGAAUCUUCGGCAAUGGGGGCAACCCUGACCGAGCAACGCCGCGUGAGUGAAGAAGGUUUUCGGAUCGUAAAGCUCUGUUGUAAGUCAAGAACGGGUGCGAGAGUGGAAAGUUCACACUGUGACGGUAGCUUACCAGAAAGGGACGGCUAACUACGUG